UAGGGAAUCUUCGGCAAUGGACGAAAGUCUGACCGAGCAACGCCGCGUGAGUGAAGAAGGUUUUCGGAUCGUAAAACUCUGUUGUUAGAGAAGAACAAGGACGUUAGUAACUGAACGUCCCCUGACGGUAUCUAACCAGAAAGCCACGGCUAACUACGUGCCAGCAGCCGCGGUAAUACGUAGGUGGCAAGCGUUGUCCGGCUUUAUUGGGCGUAAAGCGAGCGCAGGCGGUUUCUUAAGUCUGAUGUGAAAGCCCCCGGCUCCACCGGGGAGGGUCGUUGGAAACUGGGCGACUUGCGUGCAGACGAGGCGAGUGGACUUCCAUGUGUAGCGGUCACAUGCGUAGUUAUAUGGAGGAACUCCCGUGGCGAAGGCCGCUCUCUGGUCUGUCACUGACGCUGAGGCUCGAAAGCGUGGGGAGCAAACAGG
rnacentral:rRNA from 1 species